UUAUGUGGCUGUUGGAAUUGGUAUAUGAUGUUUAUCUUCAACCAUGUAUGUUGGCAUGGAAUUGAAAGCUAAGAGCUCCAAAUAGAAAACCCGUAUCAUCAGUUACCGUCCAGCCAACUUAUACAAAGAGCUGUGCCUGCUACAGAGUGGCAACCUGCUUCUGAGUCAAACUCAAUGUCCCAGGCAGAUGAAGGUUUAUGUCAAGAAGACAUUACCCAUACAGUUAGCUGGAAGGCAAGUCUACAUUGAGGAAAGUAGAUCAAUCAGCAAUGGUGUUUCUCGUGGAGGAAGGCAAAGAGGUAAAGGAGGAUGUUCCAGGAUUGAAAUUUUCAGAGGGGAAGCAAUCAAGGCAAUGGUUUUCGUGGCACAUCAUAAUAUAAGAGUAUGACUUACCAACCUGAAAAACUAAAUUUUGGCAGGGGAUGAUAAGGAAUGUGGCUCAGUGUUCUUUCUUUCUGAUGGUAUGGUCUUCUCAUGGAAGGAAUUAGAUAAAUCUCAGUGUUUUUUUAUUGGGCACCGAAUGCAUCCAGAAUAAAUUUUUGCUCUUUCUCCUAUAGUCACAGUUAACGCUAAUUUCUUCUUACAAUAUGGUACUACAAUCCAAGAUGAAAUACUGUUAUUUUGAUUGUUCAAUGCAAGCUUUUCAGAAUGUGUUGAGCAAAGCUAAAUGGUAUGGUGGUGAUAU